GUGUGACCUUGGAGAGUCACUUCCCUCUCUGAAUCUUUAUUUUCUGCCGGAGAACAAUUAGCUGCCCAUCCAGUAGCAGCAAUGUUUGGGAUCACCUGAGCUGGGGUUUGUAAAAGCGCUGAGAAGAUUGCAGCUAAAUUAGAGGAUGGUCGGAAACAAUAAAUGCCAGGAAAGGGAGCACGAUGAGGCCCAGCUCUGCUGUGCGGUGAAGACGUCUGGGUUUCUUAGAGUUAUCAGCUCCUGUGCCACGACUGGCCUUUGCCCCCAGGAAUGGCUGAUGAAGGCCUUCACGGCUCCCACUUCUGAGGUUAUGAGACUGUUACGCUGACCCAGCUAAAAACCACGAUGGAGUAGCUGGAUGUUGGAGGAGAAGUGUCAGGACUUGUGGUUCACAGAUAUCAGUUUCUGGGUUGUUAUAAAAAUUAAUAAUUAAUCCUUUCCUGUGUGCUGGAGGGACUUGAAAAGUCUUCCAUCCCAGCAGCUGAUACCACCUGACUGCAUGGCCCAGCUUGGGCUCCAGACACAUCAGCCUAUGUG
ensembl:lncRNA